CGCAGGAAAAGAAACUAACCAGGAUUCCCUUAGUAGCGGCGAGCGAAGCGGGAAAAGCCCAAUAUGAAAAGCCCUUUUUUGGGCAUUGUAUUUUGAGCGGUCUUGAGUCGUCAAUUGAGGAAAGUGUGCAUGAAAGUGCUCGCCGUGGAGGGUUAAAGCCCCGUCCAUCCUUGAUAGGACGUGCUCGUACACGACCGUUUCAGUCGAGUCGGGUAGCUUGGGAAUGCUGCUCUAAUCGGUGGUAAAUCUCAUCGAAGGCUAAAUACUGGUAAGAGACCGAUAGCGAACAAGUACCGUGAGGGAAAGUUGACAAGCACUUUGGAAAGAGGGUGAAAAGAACCUGAAACCGUUACGGGGGAAGCGAGUUGCGUUGAACUGAAUGGCUAGUAUGUGUUCAGCCGAUAGGUGUACUCACAUGCUAUGUCUACUUACCAUGGGUUCUCAGUACGGAAUGCAAGUUUCGUGCUGGGGGCUGAGGGCUCCCUUCGGGUUUAGAGGAUGGUAAGGCAACGACGCGAUUCGACCCGUCUUGAAACACGGACCAAGGAGUCUAGCGUACCUGCGAGUCAAAGGGUUUUCAAACCUGAGGGCGCAGUGAAAGCAAAUUGUUAUGAAAACGUGCAGUUUGGAGCGGCAUGCGAUCGUUGAUUGCAAGUCCGACUUUGAGCAGGCACGCUAGGACCCGAAAGAUGGUGAACUAUGCUUGAGCAGGGCGAAGCCAGAGGAAACUCUGGUGGAGGCUCGAAGCGAUGCUGACGUGCAAAUCGCUCGUCAAACUUGAGUAUAGGGGCGAAAGACUAAUCGAACCAUCUAGUAGCUGGUUUCCUCCGAAGUUUCUCUCAGGAUAGCGGGCCAACUUUAUGUUGUCGUGUGCGGUAAAGCGAAUGAUUAGCGUAUUGGGGGCUUUUAAGCCUYCGAAUGAUUCUCAAACUUUAAAUGCCUCACUGAUGUUGCUGCUUGGGUGAGCGGCAUCGUUAGAAACGUUUGGCUUUGUGGGCCAUUUUUGGUAAGCAGAACUGGCGAUACGGGAUGAACCGUAAGCGUGGUUAAGGUGCCAAAUUAUCCGCUUAUAGAUCCCAAAAAAGGUGUUGAUUCAUUAAGACAGCAGGACGGUGGCCAUGGAAGUCGGAAUCCGCUAAGGAGUGUGUAACAACUCACCUGCCGAAUGAAUUAGCCCUGAAAAUGGAUGGCGCUCAAGCGGGUAACCGACACCACGCCGUUUGGUCAAGAAACGCUAUCAAAUGAGUAGGAGGACGUGGCGGUCGUAUCGAAGCAUUCCCGCGAGGGCCUGUGGAACGGCCGCUAGUACAGAUCUUGGUGUCAGUAGCAAAUAUUUAAGUGAAAACCUUGAAGGGCGAAGCGGGGAAGGGUUCCACGCCAACAUUGAUUGGGCGUGGGUGAAUCGUUCCUAAGCCGCGUGGCAAUAGCUAAUAAUCCGGCGAAAGGGAAGCAGGUUGAUAUUCCUGCAUAUGGAUGUGGAAGCGGUGACGCGACAUCAGAGAUAGUUAAGUCGGCGGUGGUCCUGGGCAGAGUUUUCUUUUCUGUUUAACCAAUCCUACUUGUAUUGUGUGGAAUUCGCUUGUCGAGAGAAACACAUACGCUUGGGAAUAGCGCCGGGGUUUUUCCGGCGUCCAGUGCACCCUCGUCGUCCCUUGAAACACUAUCUGCUGGCAGUUGUCCUUCUUUGAAGGGCACUCUGUGUAAAAGAUCCACGCCAUGACGUACCGAUAACCGCAUCAGGUCCCCAAGGUGAACAGCCUCUGCUCGAUAUGAAAAAUGCAGGUAAGGGAAGUCGGCAAAUUAGACCCGUAACUUUGGGAAAAGGGUUGGCUCUAGUGCUGUGUGGGAUUUGUCGUCCUUGGUAUAGGUGGGCACACGUUAUUUUGGCGCGCUAUGGGAUGCUCGUCCUCUUUUGGGCUUGUGUUCCGUAGUGUACUGGGACUAUGCGCCUCUGUCUUAUCGCGCCCUGGAUGGGACCCACAACAUACAGCAAACUAGAACUGUAACGGUCAAAGGGAAUCCGACUGUUUAAUUAAAACAAAGCAUUGCGAAGGCCAUGGCUGGUGUUGACGCAAUGUGAUUUCUGCUCAGUGCUCUGAAUGUCAAAGUGAAGAGAUUCAAUCAAGCGCGGGUAAACAGCGGGAGUAACUAUGACUCUCUUAAGGUAGCCAAAUGCCUCGUCAUCUAAUUAGUGACGCGCAUGAAUGGAUUAACGAGAUUCCUACUGUCCCUACCUGCUUCUAGCGAAAACACAGCCGAGGGAACGGGCUCGGCAAAAUUGGCGGGGAAAGAAGACCCUGUUGAGCUUGACUCUAUUCUAAAUUUGUGAAACGAGUUAGGAGGUGUAGCAUAGGUGGGAGAGUACUUGUGUACUCGCCAGUGAAAUACCACUACUCUUAAUCUCGUUUUACUUACCAGGUUGGUGAGGAUUGAAAGCUGUUGCUUUCUAUCUUUUGGAACCAAAGUCUUUCAGUAGGCUGACCUCCGYCUGGAACAUAUUUAGGAGGGGAGUUUGGCUGGGGCGGCACAUCUUCUACAAGACAACGAAGGUGUCCAAAGAUAAGCUCAGUGAGAACAGAAAUCUCACGUAGCGUAAAAGGGUAAAAGCUUGUUUGAUUUCGAUUUCCAGUGCGAGUUGAAAACGGGAAACCGUGGCCUAUCGAUCCUUUUGAUAUUCGAGAUUUGAAGCAAGAGGUGUCAGAAAAGUUACCACAGGGAUAACUGGCUUGUGGCGGCCAAGCGUUCAUAGCGACGUCGNNNNNNNNNNNNUCGAUGUCGGCUCUUCC
rnacentral:rRNA from 1 species